AGUCGAGCGGCAGCCGAGUAGUUUACUACUUGGUGGCGAGCGGCGGACGGCUGAGUAACGCGUGGGAACGUGCCCCAAAGUGAGGAAUAAGCUCCAGAAAUGGAGUCUAAUGCCGCAUAUGAUCUUCGGAUUAAAGUAUUUAUACGCUUUGGGAGCGGCCCGCGUCCGAUUAGAUGGUUGGUGAGGUAAAGGCUCACCAAGUCUACGAUCGGUAACUGGUCUGAGAGGAUGAUCAGUCAGACUGGAACUGAGACACGGUCCAGACUCCUACGGGAGGCAGCAGUAAGGAAUCUUCCACAAUGGACGAAAGUCUGAUGGAGCAACUCCGCGUGCAGGAUGAAGGCCCUCGGGUCGUAAACUGCUUUUAUGAGUGAAGAAUAUGACGGUAACUCAUGAAUAAGGGUCGGCUAACUACGUGCCAGCAGCCGCGGUCAUACGUAGGACCCAAGCGUUAUCCGGAGUGACUGGGCGUAAAGAGUUGCGUAGGUGGUUAGUAAAGUGAAUAGUGAAACCUGGUGGCUCAACCAUACAGACUAUUAUUCAAACUCACUAACUCGAGAGUAGCAGAGGUAACUGGAAUUUCUUGUGUAGGAGUGAAAUCCGUAGAUAUAAGAAGGAACACCAAUGGCGUAGGCAGGUUACUGGGCUAUUUCUGACACUGAGGCACGAAAGCGUGGGGAGCGAACCGGAUUAGAUACCCGGGUAGUCCACGCCGUAAACGAUGGAUACUAGCUGUU
rnacentral:rRNA from 1 species